GGUUAAGUGACUAAGCGUACACGGUGGAUGCCUAGGCAGUCAGAGGCGAUGAAGGGCGUGCUAAUCUGCGAAAAGCGUCGGUAAGGUGAUAUGAACCGUUACAACCGGCGAUACCCGAAUGGGGAAACCCAGUGUGUUUCGACACACUAUCAUGUCAUGAAUACAUAGUGGCAUGAGGCGAACCGGGGGAACUGAAACAUCUAAGUACCCCGAGGAAAAGAAAUCAACCGAGAUUCCCCCAGUAGCGGCGAGCGAACGGGGAGGAGCCCAGAACCUGAAUCGGCUUGUGUGUUAGUGGAAGCGUCUGGAAAGUCGCGCAGCAAAGGGUGAUAGCCCCGUACACUAAAAUGCACAGGUCGUGAGUUCGAUGAGUAGGGCGGGACACGUGACAUCCUGUCUGAAUAUGGG
rnacentral:rRNA from 1 species